UUGUUUCAGCAGCAAAUAUACUAAAAUUGGAAUGAUACAGAAAAGAUUAGCAUGACCCUUGCUGAAGGAUGACACACAAAUUCAUGAAAUAUUUCAUUCUUUG
rnacentral:snRNA from 1 species